UAAAUGGGGCAAAUGGUACAACAUGUUCUUCUAAAAUGUCUCUGAUGUAUCGAUCUGCUGUCAUGGUCCCUCCUGUGACUAUCGCUAACUCCGUGAGAGCUCCCAAACAUAUCCCUCCCCAAACCGUAAUCGAGCCGCCACCAUAAGCCACUGUGUGUUCAAAAUUAGACUGUAUGUGGCGUUCUCAUUUGUGUCUCCAUAUUCGCUAUCUCCCAUCGAUCUGUUUUAAAAGAACUCUGCACUCAUGAGUAAAGACAACCUGCUGCCAUUCGUUCAAAUCCCUGACGAUGUUCUCGCGCAUCGGUUUCUGUUCCGCUAAUUGUGCCGGUGUGUGUAUAUACUCAGUUACUAUAGGUACUUACAAAUAUUUAAAGUUUAAAGAAUGAUAUACGAUUACUUCCAGUGACCUUCUUUGUGAUUUACGAAAAAAAAUGAGCAGAAACUAAAUUCUACAUUCAAAAAAUAUAAUCUAGUUUGUUACGUCAGUUUUCAGUCGAAAAGUGAAGCGUGAAAUUGAGACCCGAAAUGUUGGGGAAGAAUAUGAUUAAUUUAUUUGUUCGUGCGAAAAAUAAACCAAAGUUCCAUGUGCCUAAGCGGAACUUUGCUCAAGUUGGAGUAGGUAUAGCUACACCCCCAAGAGCACCAUGUUCCUACUUUGAAAAACUGUUACACAUGGCGUUUAUUACAACUUUUUGGCUAACCCCAUGUUUAUACUUCUUGACACAGAUUAAAGUAUGGCGUCGAGAAUAUAUUGAAAAUAAAUAAAAGUAUUUAGCAUAAUA